rnacentral:rRNA from 1 species
GAGUUUGAACCUGGCUCAGGAUAAACGCUGGCGGCGCACAUAAGACAUGCAAGUCGAACGAACUUAAUUCGAAUGUUUACAUUUGGAAGCGGUUAGUGGCGGACUGGUGAGUAACACGUAAGCAACCUGCCUAUCAGAGGGGAAUAACAGUGAGAAAUCAUUGCUAAUACCGCAUAUGCUGUGAGUAUCGCAUGAUACAAACAGGAAAGGAGCAAUCCGCUGAUAGAUGGGCUUGCGUCUGAUUAGAUAGUUGGUGGGGUAAAGGCCUACCAAGUCGACGAUCAGUAGCCGGACUGAGAGGUUGAACGGCCACAUUGGGACUGAGAUACGGCCCAGACUCCUACGGGAGGCAGCAGUCGGGAAUAUUGCACAAUGGAGGAAACUCUGAUGCAGUGACGCCGCGUGCAGGAAGAAGGUUUUCGGAUUGUAAACUGCUUUAGAUGGGGAAGAAAAAAGACAGUACCCAUAGAAUAAGCUCCGGC